rnacentral:rRNA from 1 species
UUGGUUAAGUCCUCGAUCGAUUAGUAUCAGUCAGCUACACAUGUCGCCACGCUUCCACCUCUGACCUAUCAACCUGAUCAUCUUUCAGGGAUCUUACUAGCUUGCGCUAUGGGAAAUCUCAUCUUGAGGGGGGCUUCAUGCUUAGAUGCUUUCAGCACUUAUCCCGUCCACACAUAGCUACCCAGCGAUGCCUUUGGCAAGACAACUGGUACACCAGCGGUGUGUCCAUCCCGGUCCUCUCGUACUAAGGACAGCUCCUCUCAAAUUUCCUACGCCCACGACGGAUAGGGACCGAACUGUCUCACGACGUUCUGAACCCAGCUCGCGUACCGCUUUAAUGGGCGAACAGCCCAACCCUUGGGACCGACUACAGCCCCAGGAUGCGAUGAGCCGACAUCGAGGUGCCAAACCUCCCCGUCGAUGUGGACUCUUGGGGGAGAUAAGCCUGUUAUCCCCGGGGUAGCUUUUAUCCGUUGAGCGAUGGCCCUUCCAUGCGGAACCACCGGAUCACUAAGCCCGACUUUCGUCCCUGCUCGACUUGUAGGUCUCGCAGUCAAGCUCCCUUGUGCCUUUACACUCUACGAAUGAUUUCCAACCAUUCUGAGGGAACCUUUGGGCGCCUCCGUUACAUUUUAGGAGGCGACCGCCCCAGUCAAACUGCCCACCUGACACUGUCUCCCGGCCCGAUCAGGGCCGCGGGUUAGAAUUUCAAUACAGCCAGGGUAGUAUCCCACCGACGCCUCCACCGAAGCUAGCGCUCCGGCUUCUCAGGCUCCUACCUAUCCUGUACAAGCUGUACCAAAAUUCAAUAUCAGGCUACAGUAAAGCUCCACGGGGUCUUUCCGUCCUGUCGCGGGUAACCUGCAUCUUCACAGGUACUAUAAUUUCACCGAGUCUCUCGUUGAGACAGUGCCCAGAUCGUUACGCCUUUCGUGCGGGUCGGAACUUACCCGACAAGGAAUUUCGCUACCUUAGGACCGUUAUAGUUACGGCCGCCGUUUACUGGGGCUUCGAUUCAGAGCUUCUCCCAAAGGAUAACCCCUCCUCUUAACCUUCCAGCACCGGGCAGGCGUCAGCCCCUAUACUUCGCCUUGCGGCUUCGCAGAGACCUGUGUUUUUGCUAAACAGUCGCCUGGGCCUAUUCACUGCGGCUCUCUCGGGCUAUACACCCUACCAGAGCACCCCUUCUCCCGAAGUUACGGGGUCAUUUUGCCGAGUUCCUUAACGAGAGUUCUCUCGAUCACCUUAGGAUUCUCUCCUCGCCUACCUGUGUCGGUUUGCGGUACGGGCACCUCCCGCCUCGCUAGAGGCUUUUCUUGGCAGUGUGGAAUCAGGAACUUCGGUACUAUAAUUCCCUCGUCAUCACAGCUCAGCCUUUAUGAUGAGCGGAUUUGCCUACUCAUCAGCCUAACUGCUUGAACGCGCAUAUCCAGCAGCGCGCUUACCCUAUCCUACUGCGUCCCCCCAUUACUCAAACGGCGGGGAGGUGGUACAGGAAUAUCAACCUGUUGGCCAUCGCCUACGCUUUUCAGCCUCGGCUUAGGUCCCGACUAACCCUGAGCGGACGAGCCUUCCUCAGGAAACCUUAGGCAUUCGGUGGACAAGAUUCUCACUUGUCUUUCGCUACUCAUACCGGCAUUCUCACUUCUAAGCGCUCCACCAGUCCUUACGGUCUGACUUCACAGCACUUAGAACGCUCUCCUACCACUGACAUCUAAGAUGUCAAUCCACAGCUUCGGUGAUACGUUUAGCCCCGGUACAUUUUCGGCGCAGAGUCACUCGACCAGUGAGCUAUUACGCACUCUUUAAAUGGUGGCUGCUUCUAAGCCAACAUCCUGGUUGUCUAAGCAACUCCACAUCCUUUUCCACUUAACGUAUACUUGGGGACCUUAGCUGGUGGUCUGGGCUGUUUCCCUUUUGACUACGGAUCUUAUCACUCGCAGUCUGACUCCCAUGGAUAAGUCUUUGGCAUUCGGAGUUUGACUGAAUUCGGUAACCCGUUGGGGGCCCCUAGUCCAAUCAGUGCUCUACCUCCAAGACUCUCACAACAUGAGGCUAGCCCUAAAGCUAUUUCGGAGAGAACCAGCUAUCUCCAGGUUCGAUUGGAAUUUCUCCGCUACCCACACCUCAUCCCCGCACUUUUCAACGUGCGUGGGUUCGGGCCUCCAUUCAGUGUUACCUGAACUUCACCCUGGACAUGGGUAGAUCACCUGGUUUCGGGUCUACAACCACAUACUAAACGCCCUAUUCAGACUCGCUUUCGCUACGGCUCCGCCUUAUCAGCUUAACCUUGCAUGGGAUCGUAACUCGCCGGUUCAUUCUACAAAAGGCACGCCAUCACCCGUUAACGGGCUCUGACUACUUGUAGGCACACGGUUUCAGGAUCUCUUUCACUCCCCUUCCGGGGUGCUUUUCACCUUUCCCUCACGGUACUGGUUCACUAUCGGUCACUAGGUAGUAUUUAGCCUUGGGAGAUGGUCCUCCCAGCUUCCGACGGAAUUUCACGUGUUCCGCCGUACUCAGGAUCCACUCAAGAGGGAACGAAGUUUCAACUACAGGGUUGUUACCUUCUUCGACGGACCUUUCCAGGUCGCUUCAUUUACUUCGUUCCUUUGUAACUCCGUAUAGAGUGUCCUACAACCCCAAGAGGCAAGCCUCUUGGUUUGGGCUAAUUCCGUUUCGCUCGCCGCUACUCAGGAAAUCGCAUUUGCUUUCUCUUCCUCCGGGUACUUAGAUGUUUCAGUUCCCCGGGUCUGCCUUCAAUAUCCUAUGUAUUCAGAUAAAGAUACUGUUCCAUUACGAACAGUGGGUUUCCCCAUUCGGAAAUCUCCGGAUCAAAGCUCACUUACAGCUCCCCGAAGCAUAUCGGUGUUAGUCCCGUCCUUCAUCGGCUCCUAGUGCCAAGGCAUUCACCGUGCGCCCUUUCUAACUUAA